UGGGGAUGUAACUCAGUGGUAGAGCAUCUACCUAACACGUGUAAGGCCCUGGGUUCAAUCCCCAGCACUAA
rnacentral:tRNA from 1 species